AACGAACGCUGGCGGCAUGCCUAACACAUGCAAGUCGAACGAGACCUUCGGGUCUAGUGGCGCACGGGUGCGUAACGCGUGGGAACCUGCCCUUAGGUUCGGAAUACCUCCCCGAAGGGGGUGCUAAUACCGGAUAAUGUCUUCGGACCAAAGAUUUAUCGCCUUUGGAUGGGCCCGCGUUGGAUUAGCUAGUUGGUAGGGUAAAAGCCUACCAAGGCGACGAUCCAUAGCUGGUCUGAGAGGAUGAUCAGCCACACUGGGACUGAGACACGGCCCAGACUCCUACGGGAGGCAGCAGUGGGGAAUAUUGGACAAUGGGCGAAAGCCCGAUCCAGCAAUGCCGCGUGAGUGAUGAAGGCCUUAGGGUUGUAAAGCUCUUUUACCCGGGAUGAUAAUGACAGUACCGGGAGAAUAAGCUCCGGCUAACUCCGUG
rnacentral:rRNA from 1 species